rnacentral:rRNA from 1 species
GAUGAACGCUAGCGGCAGGCCUAACACAUGCAAGUCGAGGGAGAAGCCCUUUCGGGGGCAGAAACCGGCGCACGGGUGCGUAACGCGUAUGCAACCUACCUUUCACAGGGGGAUAGCCCGAAGAAAUUUGGAUUAAUACCCCAUAAUAUUGUUGGAUGGCAUCAUCUGGCAAUUAAAGCUACGACGGUGGAAGAUGGGCAUGCGUCCUAUUAGCUAGUUGGAGUGGUAACGGCACCCCAAGGCUACGAUAGGUAGGGGUCCUGAGAGGGAGAUCCCCCACACUGGUACUGAGACAGGGACCAGACUCCUACGGGAGGCAGCAGUGAGGAAUAUUGGUCAAUGGUCGGAAGACUGAACCAGCCAUGCCGCGUGCAGGAAGAAUGCCUUAUGGGUUGUAAACUGCUUUUAUAUGGGAAGAAACAAGGCGUAACGUGUACG